rnacentral:rRNA from 1 species
AGCUCCAAUAGCGUAUAUUAAAGUUGUUGCGGUUAAAAGCUCGUAGUUGGAUCUCUGUUGAAGACGGCCGGUCCGCCUUUUGGGCGUGUAUCUGGUUCGGCUUUGGCAUCCUCUUGGAAGACGUGCUGCGCUUGAUUGCGUGGUGCGGAGUUCAAGACUUUUACUUGAGGAAAUUGGAGUGUUUACAGCAGGCAAACGCCCUGAACACAUUAGCAUGGAAUAAUAAUAUAGGACCUCGGUUCUAUUUUGUUGGUUUCUAGGACUGAGGUAAUGAUUAAUAGGGAUAAUUGGGGGCAUUCGUAUUAACGCGUCAGAGGUGAAAUUCUUGGAUUGCGUUACGACGAACUACUGCGAAAGCAUUUGCCAAGGAUGUUUUCA